rnacentral:SRP_RNA from 1 species
CCGGCUAGUGAAUGCAAAAUAGUCCACAAACCCCGCCAGAGUCGGAAGACAGCAACGGUAGUGAUUACUUAUUUGUGAUAUUUACUAGCCAUUUC